rnacentral:rRNA from 1 species
CCUACGGGAGGCAGCAGUGGGGGAUAUUGCACAAUGGGGGAAACCCUGAUGCAGCGACGCCGCGUGUGGGAAGACGGUCCUCUGGAUUGUAAACCACUGUCCCCAGGGACGAAGAUGACGGUACCUGGGGAGGAAGCUCCGGCUAACUACGUGACAGCAGCCGCGGUAAUACGUAGGGGGCGAGCGUUGUCCGGAUUGACUGGGUGUAACGGGAGCGUAGGCGGGACUGCAAGUUGGGGGUAAAAUCUACCGGCUCAACCGGUAGCCGCACUCAAAACUGCAGUUCUUGAGUGAAGUAGAGGCAGGCGGAAUUCCUAGUGUAGCGGUGAAAUGCGUAGAUAUUAGGAGGAACACCAGUGGCGAAGGCGGCCUGCUGGGCUUUUACUGACGCUGAGGCUCGAAAGUGUGGGGAGCAAACAGGAUUAGAUACCCUUGUAGUC